CACGAGGAUGUGUUUUCUGAAGUGACUGUCAGAAAAACAAACAUCAAAACAAACUAUAUGUCAUCGGAUAAAUUAAGUGUGAUAAGACUCCUAGAGCAGCAGAGAAAAACCAAUGCUGGAAUCUCAAG